rnacentral:rRNA from 1 species
CUACGGAGGAUCCGAGCGUUAUCCGGAUUUAUUGGGUUUAAAGGGUGCGCAGGCGGCCAUUUAAGUCAGCGGUUAAAUCGUGGGGCUCAACCCCAUUCUGCCGUUGAUACUGGGUGGCUUGAUUGCGGUCGAGGUUGGCGGAAUUCGUUGUGUAGCGGUGAAAUGCAUAGAUAUGACGAAGAACACCGAUUGCGUAGGCAGCUGACCAGACCGCAAAUGACGCUCAUGUACGAAAGUGCGGGGAUCGAACAGGAUUAGAUACCCUGGUAGUCCGCACAGUAAACGAUGAAUACUUGUUUUCGGCGAUAUAAUGUCGGAGGCAAAGCGAAAGCGAUAAGUAUUCCACCUGGGGAGUACGCCGGCAACGGUGAAACUCAAAGGAAUUGACGGGG